GACGGGGGGGGCAAGUGUUCUUCGGAAUGACUGGGCGUAAAGGGCACGUAGGCGGUGAAUCGGGUUGAAAGUGAAAGUCGCCAAAAAGUGGCGGAAUGCUCUCGAAACCAAUUCACUUGAGUGAGACAGAGGAGAGUGGAAUUUCGUGUGUAGGGGUGAAAUCCGUAAAUAUACGAAGGAACGCCAAAAGCGAAGGCAGCUCUCUGGGUCCCUACCGGCGCUGGGGUGCGAAAGCAUGGGGAGCGAACAGG
rnacentral:rRNA from 1 species